ensembl:lincRNA
GGCCAUCCUCCUUCAGGAUGUAGUCCCUUCCCUCUCCCGGCAGGGCCACUGGGUCUUGGCCUGAGUCGGUCUGUAAUUAACCUUAGCUAUGGCUCUGCUGGCCUGGAGGAGAAGCAGGGGGCAUCCUAAGGGAUGCGUCUAUUGCCUUGACAGCUCUGGCGUCACCCUUUAAUCUGUGGUCACGUCUGCAGGCAGAAGAAUCAAGGGAAGUCGGUGACUGAAGAUUUUCAAGUGUAUCAAACCGAGUAUUUCCAAUCUCCUAUCCUGGGAUCCUACUUCUUUACAAUCCAAGCUCUGAUUUUCAUGGAAACUCUUUUUAUGGAAGUCUGCUCUUAGGAACUUUCUACUCUUCUUCGAAGUCAGGGAGCUGUUCCCCAGCUUUUUCUGCCCCUGAUUAAACUCUCUUUGGGAGCUGCCAAAGAAGCCCCUGGCUUUAUGAUUGAGCUUUAAUCGCCGACGAAGCACUGUCCACCUUUCCUUACCCAUCUCCAAAGCGUCUGUUGCCUAGCAACAGGCUUCGAGUCGCCCGUCCUCAGAAUGACCAUUCCCCAGUACCUGUCACCUCCCAAGCACUGUCCUGGCCACCGCUCCCGUCUGCUCACAAGCCACCCCAGCUCUCGCCACACCCAAAAUCAAUGUCUUCACUGCGACAGUUCUCCAGCCCUGACGGUUCUCACACACCGACAGCGCCAGCCUCACAAUGGGUGAUCCAGAUCUGAAGUCUGCUGCUUGGAUCACUUCUGGCACUGAAUGUCACGCACCACGUCCCUUGGACUCGGACUCAGAGGCAGACUGGGCAGCAGCUGUACCCCAGACUGGGGCAAAGCAGUUGAGCCUUCCUAUCCCUGCACGGAUCCAUCACCAGACAAGACCUCUCGUCCCAGGAAGAACUCUUUGCAUAUUGAGGAUCAUAAACGGACCAUAUACUGCUCCCCCGCGGCAGCCCGACUUUCAACUUUCUUUGCAGUGUGUUUUACUAUAAAAUCUGUAAAACCUCAGGCCGCCCAUUUCUUCUAUUAUAGCAUCUGGGUCUCAUUUGGCACCUCUAAAGACUUUAUCCUUAUAAAAUAUUCUUCCAUCUUUUUUCUAAUAUUUUAUGGUUUCGGCUUUUACGUUUAGAUUUUAUUCCAUCUGGAAUUUAUUUUGGUGAGAGAAAUAUGAAUCCACCU